CUGCAAAUGAUGGGGAAAAAAAACAUUCGAAAAGAAUGACAUGAACAGAGGAACUGCUGAUGCCA
rnacentral:snoRNA from 1 species